CAGCAGCCGCGGUAAUACGUAGGUGGCAAGCGUUGUCUGGAAUUAUUGGGCGUAAAGGGCUCGCAGGCGGUUUCUUAAGUCUGAUGUGAAAGCCCCCGGCUCAACCGGGGAGGGUCAUUGGAAACUGGGAAACUUGAGUGCAGAAGAGGAGAGUGGAAUUCCACGUGUAGCGGUGAAAUGCGUAGAGACGUGGAGGAACACCAGUGGCGAAGGCGACUCUCUGGUCUGUAACUGACGCUGAGGAGCGAAAGCGUGGGGAGCGAACAGGAUUAGAUACCCGCGUAGUCCCUGUCUCUUAUAA
rnacentral:rRNA from 1 species